UAUUCUAUGUUGCAUAGCGUGGAUGGGGAGUUCGGAGGGGACCGGGACAGGGUGGUCAUUGGCAGUCUAAAGAAAAACGUGCAGUUCUGGGAAGAAAUCGGAGCACCAAAGUUAGUACUUGAAGUAAUCAAUAAUGGAUACACGCUGCCGUUUGUUAGAUUGCCAAGGCCCAGGUGGUCAGACAACCACAAAAGUACACAUGAGUUUCCAGAUUUUGUCGGGGAGGCCAUUUCAGAUAUGCGUUCUCGCGGUUGUAUUAAAGAGGUUAACAGAGACCAAGUGUCAGUGUGUAGCCCGUUGGGAGUGGUGGAUAAUGGGAAGAAGCUGAGGCUUAUUCUGGACCUAAGGUACCUCAACAAACACCUGGCUAAAUUCAAGUUCAAACUGGAAGAUUUGAAGGUGGUGGCAGAUGUAUAUGAGAAGAACGAUUUCUUGGUUACAUUCGACUUGAAGAGUGGCUACCACCACAUUGCUAUAGCAGAAAGCCACUGGAGGUAUCUUGGUUUCAGUUGGGUAACCCCCCAGGGAAAAGCAGCAUACUAUACGUUUUGCGUCUUGCCGUUUGGUUUGUCAACCGCCCCUUACAUUUUUACAAAGGUAACCAGGGUGCUAGUGCGUCGUUGGAGGGCAAUGGGUAUACGUUGCCAACUGUACAUGGACGAUGGGUCGGGAGGACAUGCUUCCAAAGCAGGUGCUCACAAGGUAGCAAAUCAAAUGAAGAAAGAUCUCCAAAACGCAGGAUUUGUAGCUAAUGAAAAGAAAUGCCGUUGGGAGCCCUCUCAGGUUGUAGAGAUGUUGGGUAUGGUGGUUGACCUACGCGUUGGAGCCAUCCGAGCCUCCGAAAAGCGUGUUAAAAAGCUUAAGUCGAUGCUCAGCACAAUGUCAGGUAGCAGGCAACCAUCAGCUAAGCUGGUAGCAAGGAUGACUGGAAUGAUAAUGUCCAUGUCGCUGGCCCUGGGCCAGAUUUGCAGGCUGAGGACUAGAGCAUUCUACCACAUGAUCCUAUUGAGGAAGUCAUGGGCAGCUCAAACAGUUUGGUCAAAGGAGGCAAUUGAUGACCUGAAGUUCUGGAAAGAAUCUUUUGACAAAUUGCAUGGCCAGCCUUUCUGGAAGAAGGACCCACGUGUUGUAGUUAUCUGUUGGUCAGAUGCCAGCGACACUGGCUGGGGAGGUUUCAUGGAGGGGAGGUUGGGUGUGCAUGUUGCGAAGGGUGAAUGGCCAGGUGAAAUCAAAGAAAAGAGACUAAGUUCUACUUGGCGUGAGCUUAGGGCUGUUAAGCUUGUUCUGGAGUCAUUGGCACCAAAGAUUGCUGGGAAGGCUUGCAUACAUCGCACAGACAACCAGGCAGCGGCACACAUUAUCGAAAACGGUAGCCGCAAAGAGCAUUUGCAAGAGGAAGCUAUGGCAAUACACAAAUUGUGCAGGCGUUUUAGCGUGAGGAUUAGGGCAGAAUGGGUACCUCGGGAAGAGAACGAGCUGGCUGAUUAUUAUUCGAAGGUUGUUGACCAAGACGAUUGGCAAUUGAACCCUGCAUUAUUCCGCGAAAUGGAGGGGAGAUGGGGCCCCUACAGCCUAGAUUGUUUUGCCAGUUUUAAGACUAAGCAGCUCAGUAAGUACUGCUCCCGGUGGUGGAACCCAGAGUGCUUUGCGAUUGAUGCGUUCACAGUGGAUUGGUCCAUUGAAAGGGUGUGGAUGGUUCCCCCUAUCUACCUUAUUUCACGUACAAUCGAUAUGCUGCUAGCAUGCAGAACCCAUGGCACUCUUGUUGUACCAGAGUGGCGGUCAGCCCCAUGGUGGCCAAAAUUGCAUGACGGAGCUGCGUGGUACGGAUUUGUGAAAGAGUGCGUGUGGUUGCCAAAGGAUGAGAAUACAUUCUUGCAGGGGUCAUGCCCAUGGAAUUUGUUUGGUUACGGCAUGCCGAAGUCCGAGAUCAUUGCUUUGAAAUUGUGCGCAGUUAGUGGCUGUGAUUGCUGACAGCAUACCUGGCGCGUGUUUGUAUGCGGGAGAGCCUGAGUAUGUCUGACGGUGCAUGAAAUGAGAGCUUGCGGAAGUUUGCCUCCAUGCUACAGGUGCGGUAGGGCAAGUGCUAUAGGCACACAUACAGCUAUAAGCUCCCCGGUUAACACGUACAGAUGUAUCAACUAGAAGUUGCACCCAGAGCACUAGCUUCGCAAAGAGUGGUGCAUACGGUCAUGCACGGAGUUGUGCUACAGGCAUACAUGGACACUACAGGUGUUAACCCGAGCAGCAGGCAUGAUAAGGGUGAAAGCUACAGGCUUACAAUUAUGACUCAAGGUGCUGCGGCAGAGCCAGCCGAGCGCGGACGCUACAAGCAAUCGAGCUAAGGGGGAGGAGGCAGUCAGUGGCGCAGAAGUGAUCAUGCUGUUCUCCGACUGUGUGCUACAGGCAAGUCAAGUCAACAGCCAGAACGCAUGUCUCGCUGCUUGGCAGUCUAUAUGCCGCCAGCUAUGCUUUGUGCUUCUUGGAGCAGCUGUUGCUGCGACCCUGCAGUUCUAUUGUUGUUGUUGUGGUGUGUACGAGAGAGUCGAAAAGAAAUGUCUCAUUUCUUGUUGGAUGAGAGCAACGAAGUAAACAAGAAAUGCUGUUCUUUUCGAAACGCGAGUGCACAGUCCAGAGUUCACGGACUGUGCUGGGAGUGUGGUACGCACUGGCUGCACAGUGCGGAGUUGCAGCAUGCACAUGAAGGUGCAUGCUGGUCUGAAGACAGUGUUCUUUUUGUUCUUGCACUGCUGCUGUACAGUUGCGAAUCCCACCCGCCCACCCAAUUGGAUAGCCAUUGCUAGAUAUGUAUGUGCAUAUGGAUUUAUUGGCUGAGUAAGCAGUAGUGCGUGUAUGUGGCGAGCAUGUUUCCGUGUGUGGGCCAAUUUCAGAUAAUUCUGUAUUAAGGUAGCACAUUGGCUUUUUUUUUUUUUAGACUGGCCCAUUUGGGGUUAUUCAGCAUCUCCACCAUUGUCGCUGGCGGCAAUUCCCAUUAAUCAGUGCACUAGGCCGUGGUGAACGCAUUUCGAUCGGAAGUUCAUGUAUCCAUUGUCCCAUGGCUUGGAUCGCUUGCUGUCUUGCGUUGUUUUCCUUUUGUUAUGCUAAAGUGAUGUGUACCAGGCUGCCAUGAUUAUGUUUAAAUGCUGUGUGCCUGUGGCAUAGUAAUAUUAAUACACAUGCGGUGCAAGAAUUGGAGCAGCUGUUGCUGCGACCCUGCA